rnacentral:rRNA from 1 species
GGCCACAGCCAUAUCACCCUGCAGCCCAAGACCGGUUACUCACUGAAGCUAAGCAGGGCUGAGCCUGGUCAGUACCUUAAUGGAAGACCACAUGGGAAAAGCUAGGUUGCUGUUGGAA